GUGAAUAAGUGGAUGCUGCUGGUGUUGCUGGCAUUACUGGGUGUUGGCCUCUUGAUGUCAUCCAGAGGUAUCUGGUCUCGUCCCGAGAAGCUGGGCUCACUGGAAAGCACUCAGGCUGGCCUGCAGGUGCGUGUGCAGAGAAUGGAGAAGGAGCUGGAGCUGCUGACCGCUGA